CCUGAGAAACCCAAAAGUCGAAUGGGGAGAUUCAUCGACGACGAAGCUGGCUCCCGUUGGCGUGCGAUUCCCCCGUUGGAACCUCGGUUCCAGAACGCGGGGUACACCCCUUCGGCGAAUAACCGGCGACGUAGUCGUGCACUUCUCCCUUAGUAGAACGUCGCGACCCGUUGUGUGUCGGUCUACGGCCUGGGCUAUUUGCCUGUCGCGGUGGCAUUCGUUCGCUCGCGGCAGAGGCUCGGUCGCCCGGCCGGCUGCACGACGGUACUCCGACGGUAUCGGGCCGCAACCAAUCCAUUCUCGAAUGGUAUAUGCGUCCAGGCCCGUCGCAAGCUCGGACAGCACCCGGAGCGUGUGGACGCAGCGCCCUCCCCGGGUCUGGCCAGCUGUUAGCAGACGGUGUCCUCGGACCGGCCAAGCUUCGAAUUACCGGUCAGCGACGCUAUUGCUUUGGGUACUCUCAGGACCCGUCUUGAAACACGGACCAAGGAGUCUAACAUGUGCGCGAGUCAUUGGGACAUUGAAACCUAAAGGCAAAAUGAAAGUGAAAGUCGUCGUAAGCGUCGACCAAGGGAGGAUGGGCCGCGUCACGUCGCGGCCUCGCACUCCCGGGGCGUCUCGUUCUCGUUGAGAAGAGGCGCACCCAGAGCGUACACGUU
rnacentral:rRNA from 2 species